rnacentral:rRNA from 1 species
ACUCCUACGGGAGGCAGCAGUGGGAAUAUUGGACAAUGGGGACCGUACUCCAGCCAUGCCGCGUGUGUGAAGAAGGCCUUUUGGUUGUAAAGCACUUUAAGCGAGGAGGAGGCUUACCUGGUUAAUACCUGGGAUAAGUGGACGUUACUCGCAGAAUAAGCACCGGCUAACUCUGUGCCAGCAGCCGCGGUAAUACAGAGGGUGCAAGCGUUAAUCGGAUUUACUGGGCGUAAAGCGCGCGUAGGUGGCUAAUUAAGUCAAAUGUGAAAUCCCCG